rnacentral:ncRNA from 1 species
UAAUAAAGGCAAACCCACCGAAAGGUGGGGACGCAAAGCUUGAAGUCUAAUACCAUAUGGUAAUGAUUGUUCAGCUGCU